rnacentral:rRNA from 1 species
UUGGAGAGUUUGAUCCUGGCUCAGGACGAACGCUGGCGGCGUGCCUAAUACAUGCAAGUCGAGCGGACYUGAUGGAGUGCUUGCACUCCUGAUGGUUAGCGGCGGACGGGUGAGUAACACGUAGGCAACCUGCCCUCAAGACUGGGAUAACUACCGGAAACGGUAGCUAAUACCRGAUAAUUUAUUUCACAGCAUUGUGGAAUAAUGAAAGACGGAGCAAUCUGUCACUUGGGGAUGGGCCUGCGGCGCAUUAGCUAGUUGGUGGGGUAAUGGCYCACCAAGGCGACGAUGCGUAGCCGACCUGAGAGGGUGAACGGCCACACUGGGACUGAGACACGGCCCAGACUCCUACGGGAGGCAGCAGUAGGGAAUCUUCCGCAAUGGGCGAAAGCCUGACGGAGCAACGCCGCGUGAGUGAUGAAGGUUUUCGGAUCGUAAAGCUCUGUUGCCAAGGAAGAACGUCUUCUAGAGUAACUGCUAG